UGUUUCCUUUGGAUGUAUUCCCAGAAGUGGAAUUGCUGGUAUGGUAGUUCUAUUUUUAAUUAUUUGAGGAUUCUCCACCCUGUUUUCCAUAGUGGCCACACAAAUUUACAAUCCUACCAGCAGUUCACAAAGGUUUCCUUUUCUCCAUAUCCAUAUCAGCACUUGUUACCUUGUCUUUUUGAUGAUAGUCAUUCUAACAGGUGUCAUAGCCGAAAUUUCAUUUUCAAGACCCGUGCCAAGGAAAUUUCUUCCUGUGGUUUCUUCUAGAAGUCUCCUCAUUUGAGGAUCCAAAUCAGGCAGAUCUGAACCCAUCAAGUUUCUUCAUCAGCACUCACCCACUACUUGCUUCUGCAGAUGAGCAAAGCAGCUGAUUGAGAUCACGACUUGGUAACACAGUACAAAAACACUCUCCAAAGAAGCAUACUUUAAAAUCAAAUGUCAAUUACAAACCUGACUCCUGAUUGAUGAAAGCUAGAAUUCACCCCAGCACCAUGUUUUGAUUUCCACUGUGACCUAUUAAGCAGCGUGGAAGGAGAAGCAAGGAAGAAAGUUCUUUGGCCAAUAGUGAAGCAAUGUUGGAGGCACAACCACUUUGAAAGGAAAAUGUCCUUUCCUGAGCCAAAAGAGCUCCGCUGUGUUGGACAAAAUGAGUUGUGGACCUGCAAAGCUACAAUGGGAUCAGUGAGGUUGAAAGAACAGGAAAGAGUAGAAGGAACCUGUAGAUUUGGAUUUGGAUUAAAAAUAAAGCAGAAGCUUUAGUAGAUCUGUAAUCAAUAAGCACUAAAAAAGGCAAGUCAUAAGGAAAGGUAAGUUGGAUCCUGGCCUAACCUUAGUAGUUUAUAUAGUCAGCUUAGCUAGAGGAGAUAUAUGUGUUCCUAAUUAUCACUGUGCUUGGCAAAAAUAGCACAAUAAAAAACUCAGGACUUAUUGGAAAAAUGAAGUUUGGGAAUAACACUCAACAAUUUCAUCAGUGACACAUAAAAAUAAAUACUGGGACCUAGUAAAAAUGGAAGUAUGGUUUACACAUAUUAAACUGUUAAGAAAUACACAAAUACUACAAUAAAUAUUGCAGUUUACCCUAAAAAAGACCUGAAAUUUGCCUGUGGAAGUGGGCUUUGGAAAAGUUAUAGCUGUGAGUUAUUGGCAAGUCAUGGAAAAACAAGAGUUACAACACCAGAUGAGGUUGGAAGUGGCUCAUAACACAUGGGGUAAACUGAGUUAGCUGGGAACUGCUUGAGGUAUGAGUAUGUGUGUUCUGUAUGCUCCUAUAAGUAUGCAGUUUGGCUUGGUGCAGUUUUCAGCAUUCCCCUAGUGUUUCCUGCUCAAGAAAUUGAGUAUAAGCAAAUGGAAGCAGGACUUAUGCUUAAAUUAUUCCCUAGUAUAGCAAUCAUGUUUUCAAAACAAGCAUUAUAGCAAAACUGACUAUACCAUGAUUUCAUCAGCUGCAGGCAGUAGCAGACUUCAGCAAAGUAAUGAGAGACAGGAAUGGCUUAACCAUGCAUUAGCAGUUUUCAAGCAGCCACAUUCAAGAACCAGCAUUAGGGUCUGGGGACCUUUUACCCUCAAGGCCAUGUAGACUAGUUUGUUUUUUGUUUGUUUUAGGGAGGUAAUAUUUAUGUCUAUGCUUUUCAAUUUUUUUCUAGAAUGAUCCUGGUAUAUAUAAUAAAAAUAAAAUACAAUUGACAUAAAAUAUUGCCUUACUGAGAUAUAAUCAAUAUAUAACAUUGAGUAAAUUUAAAGUCUACCUCAUAAUGAUGUGAUAUAUGUUUAUAUUACAAAAUGAUUAACAUAAUAAGGUUAGUUAAUGCAUAUGUCACCUCAUAUAGUUAAAAUGUGUGUGUGUGCAGUAAAAGCAUUUAAAAUCUACUCUCCUAGCAACUUUAAAAUAUACAAUGCAGUUCUGUAAACUACAGUCACCAUGCUGUACAUUACAUCUCCAAAACUUAUUCAUUUUAUAACUGGAAAUUUAUGUCCCUUGUCCACCUUCACUUAUUUCUCCUUUAUGGAACGCAAUCUCUAGAAACCACCUUUCUACUCUCUGUUUCUAAGAGUUGGGCAUUGGGUUUUUGUUUUUGUGCUUAUUUGUUUGUUUUUUAGCAUCCACAUAGCAGUGAGAUGAUAUAGUGUUUGUCUUAAAAGUUAUCUAGAACCUAAAGUUUUUCAUACAAUCAUUUUCUAUCUUAGGAGCAGGAUGAGGGGAGAAAUUAGAAAUGUGAUUAAUUAUAUAAAGGGACUAAAGAAAACUCAAAUUGAUUGUAAUAGCAUUUAUUAAGACCAUUUUCACUUUUGGUCCUAAUUUAAACUCAUCAACCCACUCAAAGGGGAGUGGGUGUGGGAGGCAUGAAAAAAAGGAACUACAAUAUUUCCAUGCUCUGUCUUCCUCUCAAAAAGUAAAAAUGGAGAUAAUUAAGUAAAGAUGUAUAUAGGCAACCAUUUUGAGAAUUUGCUAUAAAGAGGAAUUGAGAAAUGUACAGAUGAUUGAAAUGAAAUAGCCAAAGCAAUAUUGAAAAAGAAAAUGUAAAUGGAGGAAUCAGGAUCCCUGAUUUCAGACAAUACAACAAAGCUACAGUUAUCGAAAUAACAUGGUACUGGCAUAAAAACAGAAAUAUUGAUCAGUGUGAGUUCCCAUUGUGGCACAGCAGAAACAAAUCCAACUAGUACUCAUGUGGAUGUGGGUUCAACCCUGGCCUCUCUCACUGGGUUAAGGAUACAGCACUGCUGUGAGCAGUGGGGUAGGUUGCAGAUGCAGCUUGGAUCCUGUGUUGCUGUGGCUGUGGCGUAGGCUGGCAGCUGAAGAUCUGAUUUGACCCCUAGACUGGGAAUUUCCAUAUGCUGUGGGUAUAGCCCUAAAAAGCAGAAGAAAGAAAGAAAGAGAGAGAGAGAGAGAGAGAGAGAGAGAAAGAAAGAGAGAGAGAGAGAGAGAAAGAAAGAGAGAGAGAGAAAAAAGAAAGAAAGAGAGAGAGAAAGAGAGAAAGAGAAAGAAAGAAAGAGAGAGAGAGAGAAAGAAAGAGAGAGAGAGAGAAAGAAAGAAA
rnacentral:lncRNA from 1 species